AUUUAAAUAAUUUAAAUAAAAUAUUGAUUUGUGGGAUCAAAAAUAUGACAGAGUCAUUUUAAAUU
rnacentral:tRNA from 1 species